UACAGAGGUCUCAAGUGUUGUUCGGAUUCAUUGGGCGUAAAGGGUGCGUAGGCGGCGCGGUAAGUCGGGUGUGAAAUCUCGGAGCUUAACUCCGAAACUGCAUUCGAUACUGCCGUGCUUGAGGACUGGAGAGGAGACUGGAAUUUACGGUGUAGCGGUGAAAUGCGCAGAUAUCAGGAGGAACACCGGUGGCGAAGGCGGAUCUCUGGGCCUUGCCUGACGCUGAGGCGCGAAAGCUAGGGGAGCGAACAGG
rnacentral:rRNA from 1 species